AAAAAAUGCAACAGUGCAAGCUGAUGCACACCUUUUUGCUUAGGUUAAAAAGUUGCUCUAAUCUGCUUUAUCUUUAAACUCUGAGUGCAUGAACCCCGUUCUUCAAUACCAUGUUUGUAAGUUUGGUGUCAAGAAGGAAUUCUUAAUGACGUCUUCCCAUGUGAAUUGCUUCAUGGAAGGCAUGGCCAUUUCUAAUGGGUUACAAAAAAGGCUAUGUAACUGUUACCUGAAACUCUCUCCAUCCAUAUGAAAGUUCCAUGCUUAGACAGGUUUGCCUACCGUGUGUUUGUGUAAUUAUUCACAGAUGUAGCACUCAUUUGUAGAAAGUGUCCAUUGGUAUGCUAAGAAGCUCUUUGACUGUAUAGCUAUAUGGGGUUAGAGUAAUUCUAAGUAAACACUAUGUAUGUGUUCAUAAUUUUUUUUUUU